GGAAAAGCCCAAACCAACAAGCUUGCUUGUUGGGGUUGUAGGACUCCAAUAUGGUCGUUCUUUCAGAUAGUCGAAUGACUUGGAAAAGUCAGUCAAAGAGGGUAAAAACCCCGUAGACGAAAUGUGGAAGACACCUAGGAGGAUCCUGAGUACGGCGGAACACGAGAAAUUCCGUCGGAAUCCGGGAGGACCAUCUCCCAAGGCUAAAUACUCCCUAGUGACCGAUAGUGAACCAGUACCGUGAGGGAAAGGUGAAAAGCACCCCGGAAGGGGAGUGAAAUAGAACCUGAAACCGUGUGCCUACAACAAGUCAAAGCCCGUUAAUGGGUGAUGGCGUGCCUUUUGUAGAAUGAACCGGCGAGUUACGAUUGCAUGCGAGGUUAAGUUGAAGAGACGGAGCCGCAGCGAAAGCGAGUCUGAA
rnacentral:rRNA from 1 species